CACGACGUUAAUAAUGUGAUUAAGGUGUUUACAUGUCUGUAAUACACGUCGAUAAUGCGACUAAAGCAGGAAUACUCCACACGUCUUAAUUCCAUUUGUGUUUAAUUCAAGUAUGACUUUAAUCAGAUUAAGGUCAUUAAAAAUUGCUGUUUACAUGCUAGUUUCUUAAUCAAAGUAUGGUCUUAAUCGGGUUAAGAGUGGAUUAUUGUUGUCCAUGUAAACACACUGACUGUUAACCUAAGUAAAGUUGCUUUGCUCGUAUUAAAGGUGCGUGUCGUAAUGUUGAAACGUGUUCCUAGACCUCUAAUACACUCACGCUUAUAAAGAUACUUCGGAAAAUCUGUCGUUUACGAUAUUGUCCUGCAACUGAACUGGCUAGUUUCUUUGUUUCAGGGUUGAGUUUAUGUUUUUUACUUUUUUAAAAAAAAAAUUUCUGGGCUGGAAAUUAACUCCGCCCCUCCUCAGCCAGAACAAGGGGCUCAGGCUCUUUAAAAAAAAAAAAAAAAAAAAAACCUUCCUGCCCCUUUAAAUGAACAUUCCCUCACAAACUUGUAAUAUUAGGAUCCUUUGAUUAUGGUUUAAUGACCAGCAAACACUGACGAGCGCUAAUCUGUAUGCUAGCAUGAAAAUGUUAGGUGAUAUGAUGUUUUUUUUUUUUAUGUUAAUGUUAUUCAGUUUAAUUUCCCGGACAUGAUUAAAAUCUUAAAAUAACUUGCUGUCAGGGGAAUUCCGGACCUUAACCGAUAUUUUGACGGGCGAAUAUCCGAUGUCGAUACACGUGCGAUUAUAAAAAUAUGAUUCGAACCAGCCGGAUUAGCAUAAGCUGUGUAACGUAAUUAACGCAGUCAUUUAAAGAUUUUAAGCGAUUUUAAAGAAUCCGAGCGCAUAAAAAAAGGGCGUCCUUUAAUGGACUAGCUAAGACCUUAACGCUAAACCGUCCUUAGAUAACAUUCCUGUUAAUAUUUAUUUUAUUCGUCCUUAAUUUAAACGAAACGUGAUUAGAAGCCUGCAGA
ensembl:lncRNA